AAGCGGGAAGGACGAAUGCUUGUAAGGGCUCGUCUGCACGGCCAGCAGCUGGAGAGGAAGCUGCAGACUUUCUCUCCUGUCGGACCAUAUCCUGUUUGUGACUUUACCGCGCCUUUUUUAUUAAUUAAAGUACCAAUUUUGAAUCCCCAGAGACUCCAUUUAGUCUCAUUUUUAAGCUUCUCUUUCCUGGACGCUGAGAAUAAGAACACAGUUAACAAUACUCAGUUGCGACUUGUAGUCCGGAAAAUACGAACUUUGGAACUUGGAGUGUGCUCUAUAAGGUAUUAUCAUUUAUUUACUAUUGAAGUUUCAUAAUGUUAUCUUAACAUACAGUGACGCAUGAAACAAUGACAUAAAAUCGCUGCAAAGUAUAAACAAAUACGCUCAUUAAUGUGACUAUUACGAUAAAUAUUUUUCUUGAUUUUAGUGAAAGACAGUGCUUAACAGUCUCAUUAACAGCAAUAACUUAAUAAUUCAAUUUAUCUGAAAAAUAUCAAGGCUUUUCAUUAACAGACAAUUUUAGAGAAAUAUAAAAAGCAGCAGAUAAGAAAUGAAGCUCAGCGUAAGUUCAACCAGGAAGACCAUCUUUACUCUUAAUUUACUAUUCCCAUGUAACUACUCUCUCUCCUCUCAAUAAGUGAUUGGGGGCGUCACUCUCCAGCUUAACCAAUCACUUCGCUCUAUUCCCAAGAGCCUAUCAUAGCGCUCUGCCAAACCUUUUAAGUCUGCUCUCCCCCCUCUGACAGCUGUCAUUUCAGGUGACUCUACGCAACCCUCCUCCACCCCUUUUCACCUCCUGUCCCUCUGAAUCCAGGGUCAAGCUAAACCACUCCUCUUCAGACCGACUCAACUAUCCAUUCACCACCACCAGUGUCUAGACCCCAGGGGGGUUUCAUUGGAUCGGUUCUACCCUCCCGAAUGAUACUUCCUGCACAACGGGGCCUAAUCGCCAAAAUCACCAUUACAUUCAUUUGUGUAUCUCUGCAAUAAAUAUGUAUUCUUACAUCAAAA